rnacentral:rRNA from 1 species
AGAGUUUGAUCCUGGCUCAGGAUGAACGCUAGCGACAGGCUUAACACAUGCAAGUCGAGGGGCAUCAGGGGGUAGCAAUACUCUGCUGGCGACCGGCGCACGGGUGAGUAACGCGUAUGCAACCUACCUAUCAGAGGGGGAUAACCCGGCGAAAGUCGGACUAAUACCGCAUAAAACAGGGGUCCCGCAUGGGAAUAUUUGUUAAAGAUUAAUUGCUGAUAGAUGGGCAUGCGUUCCAUUAGAUAGUUGGUAAGGUAACGGCUUACCAAGUCUGCGAUGGAUAGGGGUUCUGAGAGGAAGGUCCCCCACACUGGUACUGAGACACGGACCAGACUCCUACGGGAGGCAGCAGUGAGGAAUAUUGGUCAAUGGGCGAGAGCCUGAACCAGCCAAGUCGCGUGAAGGAUGAAGGAUCUAUGGUUCGUAAACUUCUUUUAUAAGGGAAUAAAGUGCGGGACGUGUCCUGUUUUGUAUGUACCUUAUGAAUAAGGAUCGGCUAACUCCGUGCCAGCAGCCGCGGUAAUACGGAGGAUCCGAGCGUUAUCCGGAUUUAUUGGGUUUAAAGGGUGCGUAGGUGGUUUAUUAAGUCAGCGGUGAAAGUUUGUGGCUCAACCAUAAAAUUGCCGUUGAAACUGGUUAACUUGAGUAUAUUUGAGGUAGGCGGAAUGCGUGGUGUAGCGGUGAAAUGCAUAGAUAUCACGCGGAACUCCAAUUGCGAAGGCAGCUUACUAAACUAUAACUGACGCUGAAGCACGAAAGCGUGGGGAUCAAACAGGAUUAGAUACCCUGGUAGUCCACGCAGUAAACGAUGAUUACUAGGAGUUUGCGAUACACAGUAAGCUCUACAGCGAAAGCGUUAAGUAAUCCACCUGGGGAGUACGCCGGCAACGGUGAAACUCAAAGGAAUUGACGGGGGCCCGCACAAGCGGAGGAACAUGUGGUUUAAUUCGAUGAUACGCGAGGAACCUUACCCGGGUUUGAACGCAUUUGGACAGUCCUUGAAAGAGGAUCUCUAGCAAUAGCCAUUUGCGAGGUGCUGCAUGGUUGUCGUCAGCUCGUGUCGUGAGAUGUUGGGUUAAGUCCCGCAACGAGCGCAACCCUUAUCCUUAGUAGCCAGCGGUUCGGCCGGGCACUCUGGGGAGACUGCCAGGGAUAACCUGGAGGAAGGCGGGGAUGACGUCAAAUCAUCAUGCCCCUUAUGAUUUGGGCUACACACGUGCUACAAUGGCGGUAACAAAGGGAAGCAGCCUCGCGAGAGUGAGCAAACCCCAAAAAUGCCGUCUCAGUUCGGAUUGUAGUCUGCAACUCGACUACAUGAAGCUGGAAUCGCUAGUAAUCGCAGAUCAGAAUGCUGCGGUGAAUACGUUCCCGGGUCUUGCACUCACCGCCCGUCAAG